rnacentral:rRNA from 1 species
GACGAACCGUGCGAACGUUGUUCGGAAUCACUGGGCUUAAAGGGUGCGCAGGCGGUCUGUUGCGUCCGCUGUGAAAACUCGGGGCUUAACCCCGAGCCUGCAGUGGAUACGGGCAGACUAGAGGUAGGUAGGGGAGAAUGGAAUUCCCGGUGUAGCGGUGAAAUGCGCAGAUAUCAGGAGGAACACCGAUGGCGAAGGCAGGUCUCUGGGCAUUAACUGACGCUGAGGAGCGAAAGCAUGGGGAGCGAACAGG